AGUGAACGCUGGCGGUAGGCCUAACACAUGCAAGUCGAACGGCAGCACAGUAAGAACUUGCUCUUACGGGUGGCGAGUGGCGGACGGGUGCGGCAUACAUCGGAAUCUACUUAUUCGUGGGGGAUAACGUAGGGAAACAUACGCUAAUACCGCAUACGAACUACGGGUGAAAGCAGGGGAUCUUCGGACCUUGCGCGAUUGAAUGAGCCGAUGUCGGAUUAGCUAGUUGGCGGGGUAAAGGCCCACCAAGGCGACGAUCCGUAGCUGGUCUGAGAGGAUGAUCAGCCACACUGGAACUGAGACACGGUCCAGACUCCUACGGAAGGCAGCAGUGGGGAAUAUUGGACAAUGGGCGCAAGCCUGAUCCAGCCAUACCGCGUGGGUGAAGAAGGCCUUCGGGUUGUAAAGCCCUUUUGUUGGGAAAGAAAAGCAGCAGGUUAAUACCCCGCUGUUCUGACGGUACCCAAAGAAUAAGCACCGGCUAACUUCGUG
rnacentral:rRNA from 1 species